rnacentral:lncRNA from 1 species
UAUAUAAGUUUUAUGACAACAAGGAAGAAGGGAAUUGACGUUUUUAAUAAAUUACAUAAUGGUGAAUGUAUAAAUAUAUAUAUAUAUAUAUUUAUUUAUAUAUAUAUAUAUUGCUUUUAUUUAAUAUAUAUAUUGUGCAUUAGUUAAAGCCAUAUAUAUAGGAAAGAGUUAAAUCUUUCCAAAAUAUACUCACCAUAUUUAAACAAUUUUAUAAAUAUAUCAGGAUGAAUAUUUGAGAAAAUGACAGUUUUAUAUAAGUAAUUCUUUAGUUGUUUUAUUUUUUCAUUUAUGUUUUUUUAAUAAAGCAAUUGACAAGCAAGCACUUAUGUUAAAACUAGUGCGUAUGUUUGUAAAAGGAGUAGCACAAAAGUGGCUAAACAUUGAUAACAUUGUUGUGAUAAUAUAAAAAAUAAGAGCAAAUGAGCGAAAAAAUAAAAAAAUAAAAAAAUAAAAAAGCGAAAUAGAUAAAUAGAUAAAUAGCGAAACAACGAAACAACGAAAUAUCGAAAUAUCGGAAUAUCGAAAUAUCGGAAUAUCGAAAUAUCGAAAUAUCGAAAUAUCGAAAUACCGAAAUAUCGAAAUAGCAAAAUAUCGAAAUAGGAAAAUAGUGCAGAAGACAAAACGAACAAAAAAGAAGAAAAUAAAAUAAUUAUAAAACAUAUACACAUAUAUAUAACACCAAUUGUAAUGAAAUAAAAUAAAUUUUCAUAAAAAAAAAUAAAAGUAGGCUAAAGUUUUUUUUUUUUGCUUUUUUUUAAAUUAUUUAGUUAAAAUAUCUUAAACAUACUAGUUAAAAUACAAAAUCGUACAAUAUUAUUAAUUACUUUUAAGAUAAAAUGAUUAAUUUAGGUAAAGUCUAUUUACUAAGAUGGAACACAUCAUGGACCUAUAAAUUAAAAAGAUAUCACAUGUCUCCAAGGUGGAAUGUCAGUAAAUGGUUAGUAAAAGAAGAAUACAAAUCACCAAAAUUUACAAAACCAUUUUAUUUAACAAAGUUAGGAAAUUUCAAAACAUAUCAACCCCAAGUUUCAUCUAAUAAUGGAGCUCAUAAUAAAUUUUGCGACAUGAAUAAAUUGCAUGAAAGCAACAUGAAUUUUAAAAAUAAACAUUAAAACAAAUUUUACCACUACAAUGAAAAAAAAAAAAAAGAAAAAAAAGGGAAAAUAAUAUUUUAAAAAUAACAAUAUGUAUCAAAAUUCUUAAUUAUAUAAGUAUUUCAUCACUUAAAAUUACAUUUUAAUGUUUAAUUAAUAAAAAUAUAUAUAACUACCA